rnacentral:rRNA from 1 species
UACGUAGGGCGCAAGCGUUGUCCGGAAUUAUUGGGCGUAAAGAGCUCGUAGGUGGUUUGUUACGUCUGCUGUGAAAACCUAGGGCUUAACCCUGGGCCUGCAGUGGAUACGGGCAGACUAGAGGUAGGUAGGGGAGAAUGGAAUUCCCGAUGUAGCGGUGAAAUGCGCAGAUAUCGGGAGGAACACCGGUGGCGAAGGCGGUUCUCUGGGCCUUACCUGACACUGAGGAGCGAAAGCGUGGGGAGCGAACAGG